AAUGAACGCUGGCGGCAGGCCUAACACAUGCAAGUCGAACGAGAUCCUUCGGGGUCUAGUGGCGCACGGGUGCGUAACACGUGGGAAUCUGCCCUUAGGUUCGGAAUAACAGUUAGAAAUGACUGCUAAUACCGGAUGAUGACGUUAAGUCCAAAGAUUUAUCGCCUGAGGAUGAGCCCGCGUAGGAUUAGCUAGUUGGUGUGGUAAAGGCGCACCAAGGCGACGAUCCUUAGCUGGUCUGAGAGGAUGGUCAGCCACACUGGGACUGAGACACGGCCCAGACUCCUACGAGAGGAAGCAGUGGGGAAUAUUGGACGAUGGGCGCAAGCCUGAUCCAGCAAUGCCGGGUGAGUGAUGAAGGCCUUAGGGUUGUAAAGCUCUUUUACCCGGGAUGAUAAUGACAGUACCGGGAGAAUAAGCCCCGGCUAACUUCGUG
rnacentral:rRNA from 1 species